rnacentral:rRNA from 1 species
UACGAAAGGGAUUAGCGUCAUUCAUAUUUAAUGGGUGUAAAGGGUAUGUAGGCGGUAUCAUAAAUGUAAUACUAAAAAAAGAUAAAAAAUAAUCUUAUAAGUAAAAAUUUUUUCAAAAAUGAUAGUUCUCUUUUUUUUUUUAACAGAAGUUUCACUUUUUGUUUAAUAAUUAAAAGAAACAAGUUUUUUAACUUAACUAGAGUGAAAUAGGGGAAAGAGGAAUUUCAAAUGGAAGGAUGAAAUCUUUUGAUAUUUGAAGGAACUCUAAAAGCGAAGGCUUCUUUCCAAUUAAUCACUGACGCUAAGAUACGAAAGUGUGGGUAGCAAAAAGGAUUAAGAAACCCGA